ensembl:lncRNA
AAGUAUCUAUUAGCACAGCUAGGCUAGGCUAGCUCCUGAACCCUCUACAGAGUAUCUAUUAGCACAGCUAGGCUAGGCUAGCUCCUGAACCCUCUACAGAGUAUCUAUUAGCACAGCUAGGCUAGCUCCUGAACCCUCUACAGAGUAUCUAUUAGCACAGCUAGGCUAGCUCCUGAACCCUCUACAGAGUAUCUAUUAGCACAGCUAGGCUAGCUCCUGAACCCUCUACAGAGUAUCUAUUAGCACAGCUAGGCUAGCUCCUGAACCAUCUGCACAGCAAAGGACAGCCAACCAAGACAACAAAAGAAGACCGAGAUAGACUUUACUAGAGGAGAGAACAGGGACAUAAGGACAGAGCAAACCUGUAGGCACAGACAUACAGACAGACAGACAGACAGACAGACAGACAGACA